GCCGGGAUAGCUCAGUUGGGAGAGCAGCAGACUGAAGUUGCUUACGGCCGCUUGGGCUUUGUACGGAGUCCGAGUGGCCGUUUGUGCUUUCUGAAGGUCCCGUGUUCAAUCCACGGUCCUGGCA